GUAUAGACAUAGUACUGGAGCCGAUUUACGCAAUCGAAUACCGCCGGAAGUAGAACAUUUAUGUCAACACCGGUUUCGUAUUUUCACGUGAAAUCGGCCGUAAACUGAGAGGUUAUCAACAAAUUAUAAGUUUACGGGUACCAUGAGGAUUUUUCAUGCAUUUAAACGACAGAAGUACAAGCGAACAGAUGACACAUUAAAGUGGCUGCAGAAGCUUGAAAAGUUAGAUAGAGCAGGGACAGUCAAAACUGUGGGAUAAUACUUCUAUGCUGUCCAGCAUGUCUAGUCAGGUUGACAGAAGUGAAAGAUGGUCUGAUGGUACAAUGAUGUACAAAUGAUACUCUUUAACAACUUUAACAUGUCAAAGUGUAAAAUGUUCUGUGGAUUCAUAUGAUGAGAAUGCCAAUGUUGAUCUGUAUGACUUAAUUAAACACAGAUAUUUAUACCUUCAGAUAUAUACCUGUGAAAUCUUCAGUGUCACCGUUCAGCUAUUGUUCAAGAUCAGUGUCUGCAGCUUGCACAGUUUAGUAUAGAAGAGCCUUCUGAAUCAAUUUUGUUACAUAUUUGCUGUUAUUGUAGGACGCAUAUGUAGAGAGCAACAGGUCCUGUCCAACUGUGCCUGUAAAUGUGAUUCAGAAACUUUGAGAAUAUGUAAACAUUACACUGUUAUAAUUUACAAAAUACUGUGUCUUGUAGUGUAUCAGUACUGUUUUGUCUCAGUUUAUAGCACAGUAUGUUCACAAAUCA
rnacentral:lncRNA from 1 species